AACGCACGAGACCUGCGGACCUGCGGAGGGAUCAUUGCCAAACUUGAAAAAACCUCUUAAGAAGAAGGAGGGAGGGGGGAGGGGAAGGGAGGAGGAAGGGGGAGGGGAGAGAACCUCAUCUCUCCUUUUCUCUUCUCUUCUCUUUUCUUCUGUCUUCUUCUUCUUGAAGUUCCCCAAAUCAUGUGAACCUUUUACAAAGAAAAGAAAAGUCUUUGUGGAUUUUAGAGAGAAGUCUGUCUC
rnacentral:misc_RNA from 1 species